rnacentral:rRNA from 1 species
GUGUCAGCAGCCGCGGUAAGACAGAGGGUGCAAACGUUGUUCGGAAUUACUGGGCGUAAAGCGCGUGUAGGCGGCAAUACAAGUCGGAUGUGAAAUCCCGCGGCUUAACCGUGGAAGUGCACCCGAAACUGUAUCGCUAGAGUCCCGGAGAGGAUGGUGGAAUACUUGGUGUAGAGGUGAAAUUCGUAGAUAUCAAGUGGAACACCGGUGGCGAAGGCGGCCAUCUGGACGGUGACUGACGCUGAGACGCGAAAGCGUGGGUAGCAAACAGGAUUAGAUACCCUGGUAGUCC